UACGAAAGGAGCAGGUGUUAUUCAGAUUAACUGGGCGUAAAGGGCACGUAGGUGGUUUGUUUAUGUGUAUUAUUAAAUUGUAAAGCAUAACUUUAUAACGUAUUACAGACAACAAAACUAGAGUUAGGUAGAGGGUAGUAGAAUUUCUAAUGUAAAGGUGAAAUGCGUAGAGAUCGGGAAGAACACCAGUGGCGAAAGCGCUCUGCUGGACUGCAACUGACACUGAGGGACGAAAGCUAGGGGAGCGAAAGGG
rnacentral:rRNA from 1 species